UAAUCCUUGCUACCUGGGUGAGAGUGCUUUUUUGAAUGCAAUGCACCUGGGCAAGGAUUCAGA
rnacentral:pre_miRNA from 1 species